GACGAACGCUGGCGGCGUGCUUAACACAUGCAAGUCGAGCGGAGCGGCGGACGGGUGAGUAAUGCCUAGGAAUCUGCCUGGUAGUGGGGGAUAACGUCCGGAAACGGGCGAUAAUACCGCAUACUAUCAGAUGAGCCUAGGUCGGAGUAGCUGGUUGGUGGGGUAAAGGCCUACCAGGGAGACGAUCCGUAACUGGUCUGAGAGGAUGAUCAGUGACACUGGAACUGAGACACGGUCCAGACUCCUACGGUAGGCAGCAGUGGGGAAUAUGGGACAAUGGGCGAAAGCCUGAUCCAGCCAUGCCGCGUGUGUGAAGAAGGUCUUCGGAUUGUAAAGCACUUUAAGUUGGGAGGCGUUACCAACAGAAUAAGCACCGGCUAACUUCGUGCCAGCAGCCGCGGUAAUAC
rnacentral:rRNA from 1 species